AUGAACGCUGGCGGCGUGCCUAAUACAUGCCAGUCGAGCGAACGGACGAGAAGCUUGCUUCUCUGAUGUUAGCGGCGGACGGGUUAGUAACACGUGGAUAACCUACCUAUAAGACUGGGAUAACUUCGGGAAACCGGAGCUAAUACCGGAUGAUAUUUUGAACCGCCUGGUUCAAAAGUGAAAGACGGUCUUGCUGUCACUUAUAGAUGGAUCCGCGCUGCAUUAGCUAGUUGGUAAGGUAACGGCUUACCAAGGCAACGAUGCAUAGCCGACCUGAGAGGGUGAUCGGCCACACUGGAACUGAGACACGGUCCAGACUCCUACGGGAGGCAGCAGUAGGGAAUCUUCCGCAAUGGGCGAAAGCCUGACGGAGCAACGCCGCGUGAGUGAUGAAGGUCUUCGGAUCGUAAAACUCUGUUAUUAGGGAAGAACAUAUGUGUAAGUAACUGUGCACAUCUUGACGGUACCUAAACAGAAAGCCACGGCUAACUACGUG
rnacentral:rRNA from 1 species